UAACCCCGGUUCCCGUUUGAGCACCGAAGUUAAGCAACGUAGAGCCUGGUCAGUACCUUGAUGGGUGAUCAUUUGGGAAUACCAGGUGCUGUAAU